UACAGAGGGGGCAAGCGUUGUUCGGAAUUACUGGGCGUAAAGGGCGCGUAGGCGGUCGUGACAAGUCACUUGUGAAAUCUCCGGGCUUAACUCGGAACGGUCAAGUGAUACUGUCGGACUAGAGUACAGAAGGGGCAACUGGAAAUUCUCGGUGUAGCGGUGAAAUGCGUAGAUAUCGAGAGGGAACACCUGCGGCGAAGGCGGGUUGCUGGGCUGAUACUGA
rnacentral:rRNA from 1 species